GCCCAUUUCACAGCACUUCCCUGUGACACUGUAAUAAAGUAGGUUGCAGCAAGUAUCCUGCAUGCCAUGCCUCCAAAUGUACCAGUUAAUUACUGAGCCCUUUAAACUACUAACAAGACAAGCCUUGUUCUUUCAACCUAUUGCUUUUUGCCAAAAAAGAAAAAAAAAAGAAAAAAAGGAAAAAAAAAAAAGUCAUUGGGCAAAUAAAUCUUUCCAGAGAAAACAGAUUUGUUUCCAAAUCAGUCAACUGUGCUGAACUGGAAAGGAAGAAAUGUUAUUUUUUCCAGGAUGAAAGCAAAACAAGAUCUCUCCCUGUUUAUCCUGUCUCACCCUUUUCUAAAGAAGGUGCCUACCUUCCAAGCCCAGUGGUUUGGUGUGCAGAAAUGCUGAGCUCCCAGUCUCAGCUGAGACAGGCAGAGAGAUGCUUCAGUGAUUCACACCCUCGUGUCGUGCAAGCACUGGAGAGUUUCAAAGGUUUGUUGAACAGAAAAAAAACCCAAGCAAGUCACCCAGCUGAUGCACCUGUGACACUGUGCCUGACAGCACAACAGAGCCUGCAUUGA
rnacentral:lncRNA from 1 species